CAUGCAAGUCGAGGGGCAGCAUUUCAGUUUGCUUGCAAACUGGAGAUGGCGACCGGCGCACGGGUGAGUAACACGCUAUCCAACCUGCCGAUAACUCNGGGAUAGCCUUUCGAAAGAAAGAUUAAUACCCGAUGGNAUAAUCAGACCGCAUGGUCUUNUUAUUAAAGAAUUUCGGUUAUCGAUGGGGAUGCGUUCCAUUAGGNNGUUGGUGAGGUAACGGCUCACCAAACCUUCGAUGGAUAGGGGUUCUGAGAGGAAGGUCCCCCACAUUGGAACUGAGACACGGUCCAAACUCCUACGGGAGGCAGCAGUGAGGAAUAUUGGUCAAUGGGCGCANGCCUGAACCAGCCAAGUAGCGUGAAGGAUGACUGCCCUAUGGGUUGUAAACUUCUUUUAUAUGGGAAUAAAGUUUUCCACGUGUGGAAUUUUGUAUGUACCAUAUGAAUAAGGAUCGGCUAACUCCGUGCCAGCAGCCGCGGUAAUACGGAGGAUCCGAGCGUUAUCCGGAUUUAUUGGGUUUAAAGGGAGCGUAGGUGGACAGUUAAGUCAGUUGUGAAAGUUUGCGGCUCAACCGUAAAAAUUGCAGUUGAUACUGGCUGUCUUGAGUACAGUAGAGGUGGGCGGAAUUCGUGGUGUAGCGGUGAAAUGCUUAGAUAUCACGAAGAACUCCGAUUGCGAAGGCAGCUCACUGGACUGCAACUGACACUGAUGCUCGAAAGUGUGGGUAUCAAACAGGAUUAGAUACCCUGGUAGUCCACACAGUAAACGAUGAAUACUCGCUGUUUGCGAUAUACAGUAAGCGGCCAAGCGAAAGCAUUAAGUAUUCCACCUGGGGAGUACGCCGGCAACGGUGAAACUCAAAGGAAUUGACGGGGGCCCGCACAAGCGGAAGAACAUGUGGUUUAAUUCGAUGAUACGCGAGGAACCUUACCCGGGCUUAAAUUGCAUNUGAAUAUUUUGGAAACAGUAUAGCCGNAAGGCAAAUGUGAAGGUGCUGCAUGGUUGUCGUCAGCUCGUGCCGUGAGGUGUCGGCUUAAGUGCCAUAACGAGCGCAACCCUUAUCUUUAGUUACUAACAGGUCAUGCUGAGGACUCUAGAGAGACUGCCGUCGUAAGAUGUGAGGAAGGUGGGGAUGACGUCAAAUCAGCACGGCCCUUACGUCCGGGGCUACACACGUGUUACAAUGGGGGGUACAGAAGGCAGCUACCUGGUGACAGGAUGCUAAUCCCAAAAGCCUCUCUCAGUUCGGAUCGAAGUCUGCAACCCGACUUCGUGAAGCUGGAUUCGCUAGUAAUCGCGCAUCAGCCAUGGCGCGGUGAAUACGUUCCCGGGCCUUGUACACACCGCCCGUCAAGCCAUGAAAGCCGGGGGUACCUGAAGUACGUAACCGCAAGGAG
rnacentral:rRNA from 1 species